UCAUUGGCUGCAACGGACCAAACUUCGGGCAAUGUACUAAAUGUAGAGGCUGACUCAGUAUCCACUCCUAGGGAUAGAACUGAGGCUGAGGGACCUCAGUUGAAGGUUCCGAAGAAUCAAUAGGUCAAGUCGUAUUUAUGUGUAUUUAUGUGUUUGACAUAUGAAAGAAUCCAAGAGCUGUUUUGAAAUGAGGGUUGCAGAUUGGAAAAAGGUGGGCCAUGCUUUUUUGCUUCAUGCUUUGUUUGCUAAUGAACUUGGAGAUCUAGGAAUGUCUGAUGGUUUGAACUAUGAGAACCAAAUUGAUGUUGGAUUCUUGCGAUGCCAAGAACAACCACCUUGUGACUUCUCUAUUGCUCAGUUCUGGUUUCUGGAGCGACUACUUGUCGUCCAUGGGCACUGGUGCUAUAAGAGGAUUACCCAAAUGGAAGAACACAGAGCUAGGGAUCUAUUUUAUGCCCUUUGGGUUCCUGACCUUUUCAUGAAAAGGGUGAACAACAAUGGGGAGUGGUCAUUGUUUUGCCCAAAUGAGGCUCCAGGUUUAUCUGAUUGUUGGGGUGAGGAAUUUGAAGAACUGUACACUAGAUAUGAAAGAGAGAUAAGCUUGACUAGAGCUUGAAGUUUGAAAAUUUUGGUACUUUCAUUCAAUGAAAAUGUUACACAUUGUCUUUGUAUUUGUUGGACUCUGGGCAAGGCAAAAAAAGUUGUUCAGGCACUGACCCUAUGGUUUGAAAUUCUGAAAUCACAGAUAGAAACUGGAACAUCGUAUAUGCUUUUCAAGGCUCUUCACUACAGUCCAGGAUUCUUUAGGAUUAACAUAUGAUGUAUCCUUUGAGCUAAGCCAGUUUGAUAGGUUGAAACUCAGGUGGUAUGUGGUCUCAGUAACUUCAACUCCUGGCAAGGUCUAUAAAGCUGUUGUGUUGAUGCAUGUAAGAAUGUUCUGAGAGGUUUACAUGACAGCAAGAUUGCCCUAAGGGAGCUGGAUCGGAUUAGUAUUUUCCCUUUGCUCACCUCACCUUAUCCCAAUUUUCUUGCAAUACUACCACAAUCUUUUGUUUAAGGGGCCAAUUGGAGCCUUUUAAAAUCAACUAGAUUCCUUUUGAA